rnacentral:sRNA from 1 species
GCCAGGCGCGGUGGUGCACGCCUGUAAUCCCAGCAGCUUGGGAGGCUGGGGCAGGAGGAUCAUGGGUUCAAAGGCAGCCUCAGCAAAAGUGAGGCCCUAAGCAAUUCAGUGGGACCCUGUCUCUA